CCUGCCCCUAGAAGUGUUGCAGGAGUGGUUGGGAGUAGUUGCUGUGACACAUGUAGGUGGCAGAGAGGAGAAACUGUAUUUCUACACUCAGUGUUCUGAAACAUCUGAAUGAUUAAUAGCCAAACAUU